CCUGGCUCAGAUUGAACGCUGGCGGCAUGCCUUACACAUGCAAGUCGAACGGCAGCACGGGUGCUUGCACCUGGUGGCGAGUGGCGAACGGGUGAGUAAUACAUCGGAACAUGUCCUGUAGUGGGGGAUAGCCCGGCGAAAGCCGGAUUAAUACCGCAUACGAUCUACGGAUGAAAGCGGGGGACCUUCGGGCCUCGCGCUAUAGGGUUGGCCGAUGGCUGAUUAGCUAGUUGGUGGGGUAAAGGCCUACCAAGGCGACGAUCAGUAGCUGGUCUGAGAGGACGACCAGCCACACUGGGACUGAGACACGGCCCAGACUCCUACGGGAGGCAGCAGUGGGGAAUUUUGGACAAUGGGCGAAAGCCUGAUCCAGCAAUGCCGCGUGUGUGAAGAAGGCCUUCGGGUUGUAAAGCACUUUUGUCCGGAAAGAAAUCCCUGGCUCUAAUACAGUCGGGGGAUGACGGUACC
rnacentral:rRNA from 1 species